CAGCAGCCGCGGGAAUACGAAGGGGGCUAGCGUUGUUCGGAUUUACUGGGCGUAAAGCGCACGUAGGCGGAUCGAUCAGUCAGGGGUGAAAUCCUGGAGCUCAACUCCAGAACUGCCUUUGAUACUGUCGAUCUCGAGUCCGGAAGAGGUGAGUGGAACUCCUAGUGUAGAGGUGGAAUUCGUAGAUAUUAGGAAGAACACCAGUGGCGAAGGCGGCUCACUGGUCCGGUACUGACGCUGAGGUGCGAAAGCGUGGGGAGCAAACAGGAUUAGAUACCCGUGUAGUCCCUGUCUCUUAUAC
rnacentral:rRNA from 1 species